AUGGCAAAACGAGGCCACCAUCUCUCAGAUUCUCCGUUCCCAGCGAUUCCUCCGCGUCGCCGCGAGAGCUCCUCGCCCGUAGCCUCCUCCUCGAACGCCGACGGUCGCACGGUCCUCCUUCUCCAACGCCGCUGCGCGACCUCCUUCCUCCACCAACACUGCUGCGCCCCACUGCAGCAGACGCGACUCCGCUGUCAGCUCGGCCACUCCGCUGUCCAUGGACUCAGAUACGUGCGCCUCUCACUCAUUUUACCAUUUCUGCAUCUCAUACAAGAUUUCAGAAGAUACAUACUCUGUAAAGGGAAAACAGAGAUGACAUUUUUCCUUCUGCUCGAAUAA
rnacentral:rRNA from 1 species